rnacentral:rRNA from 1 species
GACGAACGCUGGCGGCGUGCUUAACACAUGCAAGUCGAACGAAGUGGCGAACGGGUGAGUAACGCGUAAUCAACCUGCCCUUCAGAGGGGGAUAACAGUUGGAAACGACUGCUAAUACCGCAUACUGAAGGAGGGGAUUGCGUCUGAUUAGCUAGUUGGAGGGGUAACGGCCCACCAAGGCGAUGAUCAGUAGCCGGUCAGAGGUGAUGACCGGCCACAUUGGGAAUGGGACACGGCCCAGACUCCUACGGGAGGCAGCAAGGGGGAAUCUUCCGGAAUGGACGGAAGUCUGACGGAGCAACGCCGCGUGAGUGAUGACGGCCUUCGGGUUGUAAAGCUCUUUGAAUCGGGACGCGGUACCGGAAUAGAAAGCCACGGCUAACUACGUGCCAGCCGCCGCGGUAAUUC